rnacentral:rRNA from 1 species
UACGGAGGGUGCAAGCGUUAAUCGGAAUUACUGGGCGUAAAGCGCACGCAGGUGGCUGAGUCAGUCGAUUGUGAAAGCCCUGGGCUUAACCUGGGAAUUGCAGUCGAUACUACUCAGCUAGAGUAUGGGAGAGGGUAGUGGAAUUCCCGGUGUAGCGGUGAAAUGCGCAGAUAUCAGGAAGAACACCCGUGGCGAAGGCGGCUCUCUGGAACGCAACUGACGCUGAGACGCGAAAGCGUGGGGAGCAAACAGG